rnacentral:lncRNA from 1 species
GAGACUGAGCGGUCCUCGAGAGUCGGCCGCCGCCACAGCUGUCAGCGGGAGAGAGUCAGUGCGCGUCUCUGCUGCCAAAAUGUCAAAACUUUGCGGCGCUUCGGUCCGUGAGGAGCUGCGAGAUCCCCUUUUUGUCUCAGAACCUCUUUCUGUGUCUUCCUUCUGACGAAUGAGGUCAUUUCACCCUCCACUGCCAGGCAGUCAUCCGAGGAGCUGGAAAGAGAGCGGAAGCUUAACCUUUAACAGCCCACAGCUUGGCAGCACCAGUUCCGAGCCAGAGAGGACAGUUUAACAAGCUGUCAUAAAGCCAGUGAGGAUCUCAGAUGGCCCAGUUAGAUUGCCAUGGUUGGAAUUUGAUCAGAGAUUGGAGUUCUCAAGUGUAUGCAAAUCUUUGCAUUGAUUAUCUGGGCAUAUCAAACUCAACUUUGUGGAAAUAACUUCCUACUUAUGAUCUUCCUGCUUCCUGAAAAUCCUUUUAGAAUGGCCAGUUUUGUAUUUAUAGAACCCAUGCUAGGCAAGUGUUCUACUGCUAAGCUGUGCCCUACGCCCUCAUAGGGGGAUUCUGGCUGGGUCGGCACUCAACCACAAAGCUAUGAGCAAGAAUGGUCAGUUUUAAAUCUGUCCAGAUAUCAAGCCUAAGGCUUCCAGUCCCAGCUCUGGGCUAGGCACAUAAAUAAAUACCUAGGAGUUCUUUGUUGAAC